AUGAACAUCAACACCCCACCUACCCAAUUAGCGUCGGGUGUCGGGUUGGGUGAUAGCGGACGGGGUAAGGAGGAGGCUCCAUUAGUCGCUGAUGACAUCGCCAUGGAUGAGGAUGAGGAUGACGAUGGCACUCAACAGUAUGUCUAUACUGGCGCCUACUCAGGGAUUGAGCAUCAUGAGUCGGUGCCUGAAUUGCCGUCUCCGGAGGCUCAACAUAUUAUGGACGACCUUUCAGUAGUAAAGAUGUCUGGGAAGAGAGCGAGGAAAGGCAAAAAAGCUGAUUCUAUGAUCCAGCCGCCUCAGCAGCCUCAGCUUCAGGUCCGUAUAGAUAUCCCCGAUGCAGAUAAAUGGCAUAUCCCCGGUCAACCAAUCCUACCUGCAACAGCGCUACGGGCUAGAUUCGGCUCUCUAAGGAGACUUCAUGACGAUGUGCUGCAGAUAGAUAAAGGCCUCAUCGCCUCGAAAGAUCCAGGAUACCCACCCUACGUGGUUAACGUUCCGCGGAAAAUGUCGUAUGUCGACUGCUUCCCCGCGGAUAAGUUCUUCCUUCGAUUCGAUUACAUAUUCAACAUGUUUCACAUGAAGAAGUUGGAUUUUACGUUUGUCCGCCUUUAUGCCUUGCACAUGAACUACAUCAUUGGGGUUGAGUAG
rnacentral:rRNA from 1 species